GAUGAACGCUGGCGGCGUGCCUAAUACAUGCAAGUCGAGCGAACAGACGAGGAGCUUGCUCCUCUGACGUUAGCGGCGGACGGGUGAGUAACACGUGGAUAACCUACCUAUAAGACUGGGAUAACGUCGGGAAACCGGAGCUAAUACCGGAUAAUAUAUUGAACCGCAUGGUUCAAUAGUGAAAGACGGUUUUGCUGUCACUUAUAGAUGGAUCCGCGCCGCAUUAGCUAGUUGGUAAGGUAACGGCUUACCAAGGCAACGAUGCGUAGCCGACCUGAGAGGGUGAUCGGCCACACUGGAACUGAGACACGGUCCAGACUCCGACGGGAGGCAGCAGUAGGGAAUCUUCCGCAAUGGGCGAAAGCUUGACGGAGCAACGCCGCGUGAGUGAUGAAGGUCUUCGGAUCGUAAAACUCUGUUAUUAGGGAAGAACAAAUGUGUAAGUAACUAUGCACGUCUUGACGGUACCUAAUCAGAAAGCCACGGCUAACUACGUG
rnacentral:rRNA from 1 species